rnacentral:rRNA from 1 species
AUACGUAGGUGGCAAGCGUUGUCCGGAUUUACUGGGUGUAAAGGGCGCGUAGGCGGGAUGGCAAGUCUGAUGUGAAAUCUAUGGGCUUAACUCAUAAACUGCAUUGGAAACUGCUGUUCUUGAGUGAUGGAGAGGCAGGCGGAAUUCCUAGUGUAGCGGUGAAAUGCGUAGAUAUUAGGAGGAACACCAGUGGCGAAAGCGGCCUGCUGGACAUUAACUGACGCUGAGGCGCGAAAGCGUGGGGAGC